rnacentral:rRNA from 1 species
UACGAAGGGGGCGAGCGUUGUUCGGAUUUACUGGGCGUAAAGGGCGCGCAGGCGGCGAUCUUUGUCAGGCGUGAAAGCCCCGGGCUUAACCUGGGAAUGGCGCUUGAAACUACAGGACUGGAGUAUGGCAGAGGGAGGUGGAAUUCCACGUGUAGCGGUGAAAUGCGUAGAGAUGUGGAGGAACACCGAUGGCGGAGGCAGCCUCCUGGGCCAAUACUGACGCUCAUGCACGAAAGCGUGGGGAGCAAACAGG